GGGCCCGCACAAGCGGUGGAGCAUGUGGUUUAAUUCGAUGAUACGCGAGGAACCUUACCAGGGCUUAAAUGUAGUGGGACAGGUCUAGAGAUAGACCCUUCUUCGGACUCAUUACAAGGUGCUGCAUGGUUGUCGUCAGCUCGUGCCGUGAGGUGUCAGGUUAAGUCCUAUAACGAGCGCAACCCCUAUCGUUAGUUGCCAGCUGGGUCAUGCCGGGAACUCUAGCGAAACUGCCGGUGCAAACCGAGAGGAAGGUGGGGAUGACGUCAAAUCAUCACGGCCCUUACGUUCUGGCCUACACACGUGCUACAAUGGCCGGUACAGAAAGCAGCCACUAUGCGAAUAGGAG
rnacentral:rRNA from 1 species